rnacentral:lncRNA from 1 species
AUGGACACCUGCGCUGCCUGUGGGCAGCUAUGUGGGGCAGGACGUGCACUUGGCACAUGCUCGGCACAUGGCAAGUGCUGGGUGGACCUGGUUCUCUUUCUUUUUCUUUCGUCCAAUUCAUGGUCAGUGGUUUGCUGUGAGCGUGAUUUAAGCCUGGGUAUUACCUGCCGUUUAAACAUACUCCUGACUGCCCUGUAUUCACACCCUUCUUACAGUCAGGUUAUACGGCGGCGAUCAACUGGUGAUUUUCCUGCAAAGCGUCAUCAAACCCGAGGAGCCUGCCAAGGCAGUGGCAGCCCUGCAAGCCUUCAGGGAUGUGUCCUGCAGAGUGCCCCAGAUGGAGACCUUGAAGAAGGAGGUGAUGAGUUCAGUGGUUCUGCUGAUACAGAAAAAUCCGAGACCUUUGUUCUCCCUGAAGGCCUACAGAGAAAAGGCAUUUGGAAAAAAUGCCCUAAGGCUGUUAUAAGCCCCACAUCCCAUCGCCUCCCCGCACCCUGUCGUCAGUCGAAUGUGGGCCCGCUGUGGAUGUGGGAGGUGCCCCAGAUGUUGCAGAUCCUGGAUGGAAGUUCCUGUCGCUCUUGGAGCUGGAUGGCAGAACAGAGCUGCUGCUCACCUGCUACUGGAGUGUGCUCUGCCUGCCCCCGUCAGAAGUGAUGCAAAAGGAGGCUCCCUCUUGCUGGCCUCCUCCCUCUCCUCUCAGCCCACUGGGAACCAGAGUCUCCUCCGGACGCCAAGAGACAGGAAAGGGGUGCUCUGGGCCGCGGCCUCACCCGUGGUGAGUGUGUGACGAUCGGGGUGGCGGUGUCGCCGCGCUGGUGGCGGGAGGGAGGCUGGGCCCGUGGGAGAGGACCGCUGGGCUGAUGGGUUCCCGCGCCCUCGCGCUCCCAGCUGCCAGCCCAGGGGCAGGUAGGGCGCAGGCGGCGGUGAGUGGCAUCGAGAGCCUGCUGGAGAACCCGGUGCGCGCCGUGCUCUACCUCAAGGGUUCUGGGCCAUCCAUCGUGCAGAACCAGCAGAGCCUCGUCCACGUCCAGCGCCAGCGCCUCGACGAGCAGGAGCGGCGGCUGGACGAGCUGAGCGCUGAGAACCGCAGCCUCUGGGAGCACCAGCAGCUGCUGCAAGCCCACCCUUGUGUCCGCCAUCGUCGUUCCGGUACUGGCCUUCUGGGCCGCUGCUCUCGCCAUUACCACUGGCGGCCGGGAACCUCCAGGACCAGGGACAGCGCUCAGCCGCCGCGCCACACCCCGCGUCCGAGCAGAUGCCGCUUCAGCACCACGGACAGCUCCUGGCGCAGCCCAGCCUCCUGGCUGCCGGGCUCACACAGCCCAAUCGCCCCACCAGCUCCCGGGACACUUGGGGCCGCUACAUAC